GCUGAGCUUCAAAGUCUACAUUUUUAGGGAGGACACGGUGAUCAACCUCAUCUCGUCGUCGAUCAGGCAAGCCCUCGAGAGCCCGCUGAACUACGCGCGGAACUACUUAGGAGACAUCCUCGACCGGUGCGUCGACCGGGUGAUCUACCUCGACUCGGACAUCAUCGUGGUCGACGAUAUCACGAAGCUCUGGAACACGACACUACCUCGACUCGGACAUCAUCGUGGUCGACGAUAUCACGAAGCUCUGGAUCACGACGCUGACCGGGUCGAGAGUCAUCGGGGCUCCGGAGUAUUGCCACGCUAACUUCACCAAAUACUUCACCUCGAGUUUCUGGUCCGACCCGGGUUUGCCCGGGUCAUUCUCGGGUCGGAAGCCUUGCUAUUUCAAC
rnacentral:lncRNA from 1 species